AAAGGAGGAUGUUGCUGAUCUCAGUACAAGCAAUGUUAGAGAAAGGGGAAGAUGGAAGUGGACAUGGAUGAGUGAGUGGAAGGCGACAAAUGGAAGCAAAGAAACGUAUCCAGACCAUUGAAGAUGCUUGACCGAGAAGAAAGAGCCGGUGGAGGGAAUGGAAGCCCAAGGAAGUCAUUUGUUGCAAUAAGAGGCCUCAGAGCACGUGUAGGGUGCGGGGCAGAGCCCAUGCAGAGGGGCUGUGGAAGGCUGGCAGGGUGCAGGUGGCCCCACUCUCCGUCACCCUGCAGAGUAUGUGGUCAGAGUUAAAGCUCAGUCUGUUCCUGGGAUCAGUAUUUUAUCAUGGCAGCCCUAGCAAAUUA
rnacentral:lncRNA from 1 species